CAGUAGCCGCGUUAAUACGGAGGGUGCAAGCGUCGUCCGGAUUUAUUGGGUUUAAAGGGUGCGUAGGCGGCUAUUUAAGUCAGCGGUGAAAGACUCCGGCUCAACCGGAGCAGUGCCAUUGAUACUGGAUAGCUUGAGUGUUGGAGGGGUACAUGGAAUUGAUGGUGUAGCGGUGAAAUGCAUAGAUACCAUCAGGAACACCGAUAGCGAAGGCAUUGUACUGGCCAACAACUGACGCUGAGGCACGAAAGCAUGGGGAGCGAACAGGAUUAGAUACCCGUGUAGUCCCUGUCUCUUAUAA
rnacentral:rRNA from 1 species